UGCGUAGGUGGUUUGUUAAGUCUGAUGUGAAAGCCCUGGGCUCAACCUGGGAAUUGCAUUGGAUACUGGCAGGCUAGAGUGCGGUAGAGGGUAGUGGAAUUCCCGGUGUAGCAGCGAAAUGCGUAGAGAUCGGGAGGAACACCAGUGGCGAAGGCGACUACCUGGACCAGCACUGACACUGAGGCACGAAAGCGUGGGGAGCAAACAGGAUUAGAUACCCUGGUAGUCCACGCCCUAAACGAUGCGAACUGGAUGUUGGGAGCAACUAGGCUCUCAGUAUCGAAGCUAACGCGUUAAGUUCGCCGCCUGGGGAGUACGGUCGCAAGACUGAA
rnacentral:rRNA from 1 species